GCCGGGGUAGCAUAGCUUGGUUAUUGCGCCGGGCACGCUAUCCGGAGGUCGCGGGCUCGAAACGCAGACGGCGCAAGACUCCCGCCCCCGGCA
rnacentral:tRNA from 1 species